UACGUAGGGUGCGAGCGUUAAUCGGAAUUACUGGGCGUAAAGCGUGCGCAGGCGGUUUUGUAAGCCAGAUGUGAAAUCCCCGGGCUUAACCCUGGGAAUGGCAUUUGGGACUGGCAAGGCUGGAGUUUGGCAGAGGAGACUGGAAUUCCUGGUGUAGCAGUGAAAUGCGUAGAUAUCAGGAGGAAUACCGAUGCGAAGGCGGGUCUCUGGGCAGCUGACACUGAGGAGCGAAGACUGGGGAGCGAACAGG
rnacentral:rRNA from 1 species